AGUUGACCUGUGGAAGGGAGCCAGCCAGAGACAGCCCUGAAACUACGCUUUAGAUCUGAAUACCCACCUAAUGCAAAGGUCAGAGAGCUGAUGCUGAAGGUGACAGCUUCCAACGUGUUUCAAAGUGAGAACCCCAAUUGCUGCUCCUGGUCUCAAUGGAAGAGAAGCCUGGUGUGAGUGAAGGAGUAGAGAAUCCAGGAAGCUUCCCUUGUGUGGUAAAGAUGGACAACUACUGAUAGAGGCCACUGCAUCAAAGGGGUCUACAAAUAAAACUUGUAUCAAUGGAGCUGCAUGAAUAUGAUAGCAAAAAUAUAUUCAUUUCCUUGUGUUAAUCUGGAAGGUAACUUUCUUUUUAAAUGUUUACUGAAGAAAAGAUAUGUAGGAGACAAACAAAAGUUUCUAAAUUGGUAUAGAUUAGAGAGGAUCCCAAACCAUAAUCUUAACCUUUGCAAAAGAGAUGUAUAGGCAUGCAACCUUGCUUCGGUCUGGAGAUCGCCUCCAGGUUGCCAAGGCCAUAAGAAAAAGUCUAUAUUUGCUACAUGCACUGAUCAUAUCACAUCUACCUCUGGUGAUACCGCUUCUAAAAUACCAAAAUAGACAAGAAGUGAAGAGUGAGUGCAACAUAUCUGGGGUGUAUAGGCACAGCAUCAACAGCUGGACAAAAGAGGUGAUUGUCCCACUCUGCUCUGCACUGAUGCAGCCUCACCUCAGAUCCUGGGGACACUGCAAUAUUAAAAAGACAUUGAGCUGUUAGAGAGCAUCCAAAGGAGGACCACAAGGAUGGUGAAGUGUCUGGAGCUGAAGCCGAAUGAGGAGUGGCUGAGGUCACUUGGUCUGUUCAGCCUGGAGGAGACUGAGGGGAGACCC